rnacentral:rRNA from 1 species
UACGGAAGGCAGCAGUGGGGAAUAUUGCACAAUGGGCGAAAGCCUGAUGCAGCUAUGCCGCGUGUAUGAAGAAGGCCUUAGGGUUGUAAAGUACUUUCAUCGGGGAGGAAAAACAAAACUAAUAAUUUUAUUUCUUGACGUUACCCGAAAAAGAAGCACCGGCUAACUCCGUGCCAGCAGCCGCGGUAAUACGGAGGGUGCUAGCGUUAAUCAGAAUUACUGGGCGUAAAGAGCACGUAGGUGGUUUUUUUAAGUCAGAUGUGAAAUCCCUGGGCUUAACCUGGAACUGCAUUUUGAAACUGAAAUACUAGAGUAUCGUAGAGGGAGGUAGAAUUCUAGGUGUAGCGGUGAAAUGCGUAGAUAUCUGGAGGAAUACCUGUGGCGAAAGCGGCCUCCUAAACGAAUACUGACACUGAGGUGCGAAAGCGUGGGGAGCAAACGAGGGAUUAGAUA